rnacentral:tmRNA from 1 species
AGUAUCAGACUAGCGAUACAGAAUGCCUGUCACUCGGCAAGCUGUAAAGCGAAGCCUCAAAUGAGUUGACUAUGAACGUAGAUUUUUAAGUGGCGAUGUGUUUGGACGCGGGUUCGACUCCCGCCGUCUCCAUAU